rnacentral:rRNA from 1 species
CGAAACUGCGAAUGGCUCAUUAUAUAAGUUAUCGUUUAUUUGAUAGCACCUUACUACUUGGAUAACCGUGGUAAUUCUAGAGCUAAUACAUGCUAAAAAUCCCGACUCCGGAAGGGAUGUAUUUAUUAGAUUAAAAACCAAUGCCCUCUGGGCUCUCUGGUGAUUCAUGAUAACUUCUCGAAUCGCAUGGCCUUGCGCCGGCGAUGGUUCAUUCAAAUUUCUUCCCUAUCAACUUUCGAUGUUUGGGUAGUGGCCAAACAUGGUUGCAACGGGUAACGGAGGGUUAGGGCUCGACCCCGGAGAAGGAGCCUGAGAAACGGCUACUACAUCCAAGGAAGGCAGCAGGCGCGCAAAUUACCCAAUCCCGACACGGGGAGGUAGUGACAAUAAAUACUGAUACAGGGCUCUUUUGGGUCUUGUAAUUGGAAUGAGUACAAUUUAAAUCCCUUAACGAGGAACAAUUGGAGGGCAAGUCUGGUGCCAGCAGCCGCGGUAAUUCCAGCUCCAAUAGCGUAUAUUAAAGUUGUUGUGGUUAAAAAGCUCGUAGUUGAACCUUGGGCCUGGCUGGCCGGUCCGCCUCACCGCGUGCACUGGUCCGGCCGGGCCUUUCCCUCUGUGGAACCCCAUGCCCUUCACUGGGUGUGGCGGGGAAACAGGACUUUUACUUUGAAAAAAUUAGAGUGCUCCAGGCAGGCCUAUGCUCGAAUACAUUAGCAUGGAAUAAUGAAAUAGGACGUGCGGUUCUAUUUUGUUGGUUUCUAGGACCGCCGUAAUGAUUAAUAGGGACAGUCGGGGGCAUCAGUAUUCAAUUGUCAGAGGUGAAAUUCUUGGAUUUAUUGAAGACUAACUACUGCGAAAGCAUUUGCCAAGGAUGUUUUCAUUAAUCAGGAACGAAAGUUAGGGGAUCGAAGACGAUCAGAUACCGUCGUAGUCUUAACCAUAAACUAUGCCGACUAGGGAUCGGACGA